rnacentral:rRNA from 1 species
AGCUCCAAUAGCGUAUAUUAAAGUUGUUGCGGUUAAAAGCUCGUAGUUGGAUUUCUGUCUAGGGUGGCCGGUACCCACUAUGUGAAGUAUCUGGUUCAGUCUGGGCAUCCUCUUGGGGAUCGUUUCUGUGCUUGAUUGCAUGGGGCGGAAUUCAAGACUUUUACUUUGAGGAAAUUAGAGUGUUCACGGCAAGCUAUCGCUUUGAAUACAUUAGCAUGGAAUAAUAAUAUAGGGCGUAAGUUCUAUUUUGUUGGUUUCUAGAACAUACGCAAUGAUUAAUAGGGAUAAUUGGGGGCACUCGUAUUAACGCGUCAGAGGUGGAAUUCUUAGAUUGCGUUACGACGAACUACUGCGAAAGCAUUUGCCAAGGAUGUUUUCA